rnacentral:rRNA from 1 species
CACGUAGGGCGCGAGCGUUGUCCGGAAUUAUUGGGCGUAAAGAGCUCGUAGGCGGCCUGUUGCGUCCGCUGUGAAAGCCCCGGGGGCUUAACCCCGGGUCUGCAGUGGAUACGGGCAGGCUAGAGGUAGGUAGGGGAGAAUGGAAUUCCCGGUGUAGCGGUGAAAUGCGCAGAUAUCGGGAGGAACACCGGUGGCGAAGGCGGUUCUCUGGGCCUUACCUGACGCUGAGGAGCGAAAGCGUGGGGAGCGAACAGG